GUUAAAAUGGCAGAUUAGUGCGUUGGAUUUAAGCUUCAAAUAUGAAUAUUUUUGUUCUUUUAGCG
rnacentral:tRNA from 1 species